UAUAAACUACUAGGAGAGUCUUGCUCAUAUCUUUAGUUGUGAUUAACGUACAGGUCUUCCAGGUUCCAACCUAUAGCAUGAAAUUUAGGGAUCAUUGCUGAAAGCUGAAAUGAGAUGCAAUGCAUGCUGGCGAGAAUUGGAAGGGCGAGCCAUUUCCACCACUUGUGGCCACAUCUUGUGCACCGAAGAUGCCAGCAAGAUCCUCAGUAAUGAUGCGUCUUGCCCCAUCUGUGAUCAAGUGCUAUCCAAGAGGUCAGUGGCUUCUGAUGGCACGGUUUGGAAUUUUAAACAUGUUCUUUUGCAUGUGAAUUCUUAAAGCAUCAGAUUGCUACAACUGCAUGAGAGUUUAGGGAAAGGAUUGAUCCAGCCUACUGAUUAAUUAUUUAAUGGAGUGAUGGUAGUAUGGGUUUCCCCUAGAUUUCUUUCCCUUUGGCCAUGAGUUGCUGUUGUGCAAAUAUAUAAGUCACUGGUCAUCUAUAGCAUUUAACAUCUUAAGCAUCUAUAGCAUUUUAAAAAAAAAAAUUGUGCCUUCUAACUGGAAAUGGUGUUCACUUGUCAGUCUUAUGAAACCUGUGGAUAUCAAUCCGAACAAUGAAUGGAUAAACGUAAGCAAGCACUCCUCAAUUAAAUACUCAGUUACUUGAGCGUCUCUAGUUUACUGCUAUUUCAAACAGAGAUCACCAUAAGCUGUACUUUGCUUGACCUUUUACAUGUUAUUUUGCAGAUGGCUAUGGCAGGGAUAUCUCCACAGAUUUGUGUCCUUUAUUACUUCCAAUGAAUGUUGUCUCAUUACAUGUAUAUGUAUACAUGUGUAUAUUCCUCUUAACAUUCCCUAUUCAGAAUUCAUCUAGUAUUGAGUGGCAUAGUGGCAAAAACUGGAGGGUAUUUGUGACAGGUGUGUGGCUGUUCUACAGCCUAUUUAUCCUUUUAUGAGGCUGUGGAAGCAGCCAUUAUUGCCGUGGCAAAUAUCAAUAUCCCAAGACAAAGACAAAAGACAAAAAAGAAAAAAGAAAAAAGAAGAAAGAAGAAAGAAAAGAAGACGAGAACGGUUAGGCACCCUAUGUAAUACUUGUAGUUCCCAAAUGGAGUGUAGAGGGCUCGGAACUUUUUAUAAUUUUUGGUUAAAAUACACAUUGGACCCACAUCUUUCCUUGAACAUAUCUAGUGAUGAAGAGUGCAUACAGAAGUGUGAUGUUCUACAUCGGGCAACAGGAACUGGAAAUGCAAUUCAAGAUGAACAGAAUAGUAGCUCAGUGCAGGCAGAAAUGCGAGACAAUGCAAGAAAAGUUCACAGAAAAACUGGAGCAAGUGCACACUGCAUACCAGAAAAUGGCCAAGAGGUGCCAGAUGCUGGAACAAGAGAUUGAGAACUUAACCAAGGAUAAGCAAGAGCUCCAAGAAAAUUUUUCUGAGAAAUCCAGACAAAAGAGAAAGCUUGAGGAAAUGUAUGAUCAAUUGAGAAGCGAAUAUGAUACAAUGAAACGAUCAACCAUCUAAC